rnacentral:rRNA from 1 species
GGUGGGGUAACGGCUCACCAAGGCGACGAUCCCUAGCUGGUCUGAGAGGAUGACCAGCCACACUGGAACUGAGACACGGUCCAGACUCCUACGGGAGGCAGCAGUGGGGAAUAUUGCACAAUGGGCGCAAGCCUGAUGCAGCCAUGCCGCGUGUAUGAAGAAGGCCUUCGGGUUGUAAAGUACUUUCAGCGGGGAGGAAGGGAGUAAAGUUAAUACCUUUGCUCAUUGACGUUACCCGCAGAAGAAGCACCGGCUAACUCCGUGCCAGCAGCCGCGGUAAUACGGAGGGUGCAAGCGUUAAUCGGAAUUACUGGGCGUAAAGCGCACGCAGGCGGUUUGUUAAGUCAGAUGUGAAAUCCCCGGGCUCAACCUGGGAACUGCAUCUGAUACUGGCAAGCUUGAGUCUCGUAGAGGGGGGUAGAAUUCCAGGUGUAGCGGUGAAAUGCGUAGAGAUCUGGAGGAAUACCGGUGGCGAAGGCGGCCCCCUGGACGAAGACUGAC